CCUUAAAGUAGCGAAGCAGGUGAGCUGGCUGCCAAGAAAAGCCGCUAUUGUUCAUAUGAUACCCGUACCGUAAACCGACACAGGUGGAUGAGGAGAGAAUCCUAAGGCCGGCGGGAGAAGCAUUGUUAAGGAACUCGGCAAAAUGACCCCGUAACUUCGGGAGAAGGGGUGCCUGCGAGAGCAGGCCGCAGAGAAUAGGCUCAAGCAACUGUUUAGCAAAAACACAGGUCUAUGCGAAACCGAAAGGUGAGGUAUAUGGGCUGACGCCUGCCCGGUGCUGGAAGGUUAAGAGGAGAUGUCAGGAAACGAAGCAUUGAAUUUAAGCCCCAGUAAACGGCGGCCGUAACUAUAACGGUCCUAAGGUAGCGAAAUUCCUUGUCGGGUAAGUUCCGACCCGCACGAAAGGCGUAAUGAUUUGAGCGCUGUCUCGACAAUGCACCCGGUGAAAUUGAAGUACCAGUGAAGAUGCUGGUUACCUGCGCCAGGACGGAAAGACCCCAUGGAGCUUUACUCCAGCUUGAUACUGGGAUCCGAUGCUGUAUGUACAGGAUAGGUGGGAGGCUAAGAAGCGGUGACGCCAGUUGCCGCAGAGCCGAUGUUGGGAUACCACCCUUGCAGUAUUGGAUUUCUAACCAGCUGCCGUGACCCGGCAGUGGGACAAUGUCUGGCGGGGAGUUUGACUGGGGCGGUCGCCUCCGAAAGGGUAUCGGAGGCGCUCAAAGGUUCCCUCAGGAUGGUUGGAAACCAUCCGAAGAGUGCAAAGGCAGAAGGGAGCUUGACUGCGACACCGACGGGUGGAGCAGGUACGAAAGUAGGACUUAGUGAUCCGGUGGUAUUAAGUGGGAAUGCCAUCGCUCAACGGAUAAAAGCUACCCUGGGAUAACAUGCUUAUCACUCCCAAGAGUUCACAUCGACGGAGUGGUUUGGCACCUCGAUGUCGGCUCAUCGCAUCCUGGGGCUGUAGCAGGUCCCAAGGGUUGGGCUGUUCGCCCAUUAAAGCGGUACGCGAGCUGGGUUCAGAACGUCGUGAGACAGUUCGGUCCCUAUCCGGCGCAGGCGGAGGAUAAUUGAGAGGAGCUGCCCUUAGUACGAGAGGACCGGGGUGGACGGACCGCUGGUGUAUCUGUUGGCUACCAAAGCCAUGGCAGAGUAGCCAAGUCCGGCAGGGAUAAAUGCAGAAGGCAUCUAAGCGUGAAGCCCUCCUCAAGAUGAGUUAUCCCAAUAAGUAAGACCCCUUAGAGAGUAUGAGGUAGAUAGGUUUGAGGUGGAAGUGCAGUAAUGCAUGGAGCUGACAAAUACUAAUCGGUCGAGGGCUUAUCCAU
rnacentral:rRNA from 1 species